rnacentral:rRNA from 1 species
GGUUAAGCGACUAAGCGUACACGGUGGAUGCCCUGGCAGUCAGAGGCGAUGAAGGACGUGCUAAUCUGCGAAAAGCGCCGGCGAGGUGAUAUGAACCCUUGACCCGGCGAUGUCCGAAUGGGGAAACCCAGUGCAAUCCGUUGCACUAUCGUUAACUGAAUACAUAGGUUAACGAGGCGAACCGGGGGAACUGAAACAUCUAAGUACCCCGAGGAAAAGAAAUCAACCGAGAUUCCCCCAGUAGCGGCGAGCGAACGGGGAGCAGCCCGGAGUCUGAAUCAGCUUGUGUGUUAGUGGAACGGUCUGGAAAGUCCGACGGUACAGGGUGAUAGUCCCGUACACGAAAGCACACAUGCUGUGAACUCGAAGAGUAGGGCGGGACACGUGGUAUCCUGUCUGAAUAUGGGGGGACCAUCCUCCAAGGCUAAAUACUCCUGACUGACCGAUAGUGAACCAGUACCGUGAGGGAAAGGCGAAAAGAACCCCGGCGAGGGGAGUGAAAAAGAACCUGAAACCGUGUACGUACAAGCAGUGGGAGCCUCUUUAUGGGGUGACUGCGUACCUUUUGUAUAAUGGGUCAGCGACUUAUAUUCUGUAGCAAGGUUAACCGUAUAGGGGAGCCGAAGGGAAACCGAGUCUUAACUGGGCGUUAAGUUGCAGGGUAUAGACCCGAAACCCGGUGAUCUAGCCAUGGGCAGGUUGAAGGUUGGGUAACACUAACUGGAGGACCGAACCGACUAAUGUUGAAAAAUUAGCGGAUGACCUGUGGCUGGGGGUGAAAGGCCAAUCAAACCGGGAGAUAGCUGGUUCUCCCCGAAAGCUAUUUAGGUAGCGCCUCGUGAACUCAUCUUCGGGGGUAGAGCACUGUUUCGGCUAGGGGGCCAUCCCGGCUUACCAACCCGAUGCAAACUACGAAUACCGAAGAAUGUUAUCACGGGAGACACACGGCGGGUGCUAACGUCCGUCGUGAAGAGGGAAACAACCCAGACCGCCAGCUAAGGUCCCAAAGUCAUGGUUAAGUGGGAAACGAUGUGGGAAGGCACAGACAGCCAGGAUGUUGGCUUAGAAGCAGCCAUCAUUUAAAGAAAGCGUAAUAGCUCACUGGUCGAGUCGGCCUGCGCGGAAGAUGUAACGGGGCUAAACCAUGCACCGAAGCUGCGGCAGCGACACUAUGUGUUGUUGGGUAGGGGAGCGUUCUGUAAGCCGUUGAAGGUGUGCUGUGAGGCAUGCUGGAGGUAUCAGAAGUGCGAAUGCUGACAUAAGUAACGAUAAAGCGGGUGAAAAGCCCGCUCGCCGGAAGACCAAGGGUUCCUGUCCAACGUUAAUCGGGGCAGGGUGAGUCGACCCCUAAGGCGAGGCCGAAAGGCGUAGUCGAUGGGAAACAGGUUAAUAUUCCUGUACUUGGUGUUACUGCGAAGGGGGGACGGAGAAGGCUAUGUCAGCCGGGCGACGGUUGUCCCGGUUUAAGCAUGUAGGCGGAGGUUCCAGGUAAAUCCGGUACCUUUUAACGCUGAGGUGUGAUGACGAGGCACUACGGUGCUGAAGUGAUAAAUGCCCUGCUUCCAGGAAAAGCCUCUAAGCAUCAGGUAACACGAAAUCGUACCCCAAACCGACACAGGUGGUCAGGUAGAGAAUACCAAGGCGCUUGAGAGAACUCGGGUGAAGGAACUAGGCAAAAUGGUGCCGUAACUUCGGGAGAAGGCACGCUGAUGUGUAGGUGAAGCCCCUGCGGGCGGAGCUGAAAUCAGUCGAAGAUACCAGCUGGCUGCAACUGUUUAUUAAAAACACAGCACUGUGCAAACACGAAAGUGGACGUAUACGGUGUGACGCCUGCCCGGUGCCGGAAGGUUAAUUGAUGGGGUUAGCGGCAACGCGAAGCUCUUGAUCGAAGCCCCGGUAAACGGCGGCCGUAACUAUAACGGUCCUAAGGUAGCGAAAUUCCUUGUCGGGUAAGUUCCGACCUGCACGAAUGGCGUAAUGAUGGCCAGGCUGUCUCCACCCGAGACUCAGUGAAAUUGAACUCGCUGUGAAGAUGCAGUGUACCCGCGGCAAGACGGAAAGACCCCGUGAACCUUUACUAUAGCUUGACACUGAACACUGGUCCUUGAUGUGUAGGAUAGGUGGGAGGCUUUGAAGCGUGGACGCCAGUCUGCGUGGAGCCGUCCUUGAAAUACCACCCUUUAAUGGCUGGUGUUCUAACGUAGACCCGUAAUCCGGGUUGCGGACAGUGUCUGGUGGGUAGUUUGACUGGGGCGGUCUCCUCCCAAAGAGUAACGGAGGAGCACGAAGGUUGGCUAAUCCUGGUCGGACAUCAGGAGGUUAGUGCAAUGGCAUAAGCCAGCUUGACUGCGAGCGUGACGGCGCGAGCAGGUGCGAAAGCAGGUCAUAGUGAUCCGGUGGUUCUGAAUGGAAGGGCCAUCGCUCAACGGAUAAAAGGUACUCCGGGGAUAACAGGCUGAUACCGCCCAAGAGUUCAUAUCGACGGCGGUGUUUGGCACCUCGAUGUCGGCUCAUCACAUCCUGGGGCUGAAGUAGGUCCCAAGGGUAUGGCUGUUCGCCAUUUAAAGUGGUACGCGAGCUGGGUUUAGAACGUCGUGAGACAGUUCGGUCCCUAUCUGCCGUGGGCGCUGGAGAAUUGAGGGGGGCUGCUCCUAGUACGAGAGGACCGGAGUGGACGCAUCACUGGUGUUCGGGUUGUCAUGCCAAUGGCACUGCCCGGUAGCUAAAUGCGGAAGAGAUAAGUGCUGAAAGCAUCUAAGCACGAAACUUGCCCCGAGAUGAGUUCUCCCUGAGACCUUGAGUCUCCUGAAGGAACGUUAAAGACGAUGACGUUGAUAGGUCGGGUGUGUAAGCGCAGCGAUGCGUUGAGCUAACCGAUACUAAUGAACCGUGAGGCUUAACCUU